GCACCUGGAUGGUCGUGGCAGCGUACGGCUGGCCAGCGGGCACGUAGGCGCGGCUGCUGCUGUUGAAGCCAGUGGUGAGGGCAGAGUUGUUCUGGUAGGUCGUGAUGGCAGCGUUCAUCUGGGCAAUCAGCAUCGGAGGGUCAACGUAGCCGAUGUUCUUGGUGUUGAGCAUGGCGGUCAGGGCCUUGGUCUGGGAAGCGAUGGUGGCGUUCAGGUACUUGUCGAAGUAAGCCGGGCCAAAGGUCUUGUUCACGGCGAUGUUCUCCUUGGUCAGCUGGGCGUACAGGGUCACCGUCACGUUCUGCAUCGGAAACAACAGGGACAAGUGGGGUUCAGACGGCGGGCACGGAAACAGGCAACGCACUUUUGUCUCGCGAAUUAAUAGCGCUUGGGUCGAGACCCCGGACCGGGGCCUCCGGCUUUCACACGCGUAGGAAGUCGCGCAACGACCGGGACAUUCAGUGUCGGCUGAAACAGUAUGGACACGGGAGCCCGCAACAUGACUUAACCGGGACUCCCAACAGCCGCUUCCCGUUUAAACCUACCGUCAUGCCCUUCUUGUACUUGGCGAUGUCCUUGGACAUGGUCAGAGACGGCGAGUAGGCGCCGUACGCGAAGAUGGCAGCGCAGAGGAAGCCCGACACAAUCAGGGUAAAGAUCCAGGCAACGACCUGCUUGGCGAACAGCUUCCAGUUCACGCCGCUGCGCAGGUCCUCGACCAGGCCCACGCCCAUCUCAGCGCCGGUGAUGCACUGGGUGGUGGAGAUGGGCAGGCCGUACACGGAGGCCAGCGACACGGUGAACGAAGUGCCCAGCUCAGCCGAGAAACCGCGGGACGGCGUCAUCUGCGAACCGGGCAUGAAACGGCAUGCGUUACAAGGGCAAGCUAGGGAAAUGCAGGCACAUUUGAAGAGGGAGGCUCGCACAAGGCGACAGCAUGCGUGCCCCGCCCAUCCGGACGUGUCAAUGUGCUGGGCAUUCAUAGCGUUCCAGGUCCCAAAAGCGUGCCCAUUCCACCCCCCACGCACCUUGGCCAGGCCCACGCCCAGAGUCAUCAUGAUGUUGUAGCCGUAGGUAGCCAGGCCCACCACAAUGCCGGCGCCGCCCAUGGCCAUCACCCAGAUGGGGGUGUCGCCGUUGGACGUGAUGGUCCAGAAACGGUACACGUACCAGAUGCCGGAGAAGGGGCCGACAGCGUUGGCGACAUCGUUGGCUCCGUGCGCGAAAGACACGGCGCAGGCAGAGAAGACCUGCAGGUACUUGUACACCUGCUCGGUCUCGGGGGAGAACACCUCGGCGGCAGCGUGCAUGUCGUGGAUGGUCUGGUCGUGCUCCACGUGCUGCGCGCGGCAAGGGCACCAGGGAGGUCUCGCGUGAAUACACUGGCAAGUUUGUGCUCGGGGUUUCGGGGUCUACACCAACCCACCCAGCUCCAUACCGUUCACUGCCGAAAUGUCCAGGACCCACCUCGUGAAUGUCGACGUUCAGGCCGCGGGUGGCAGCCUUCUUCAUCGAGUUGAAGAUCUUCAUGGCCUUGGAGGUGGGCUCAGCCUCCACCUCCUCCUCCUUGGGCUUGCCGGCGUUGGCCUCGGCGUCAGCAGCCUUCUGGGCAGCCCUGCAGAGUCGAGCAUUCCCAAAGUGUUAGCAGUUGCUUUGCCGCAAGCAUGUCCUGCGACUAUGAAUACCGGUAUGCAUAUGCAUGGCGCUCCUGACGGCACACGGACACAAGACGCACGGCAACGCAGCACCUAGCGUCAAACGCACCGGUCCAUGUCCUUGGUGACGGCACGGCGCAGCAGCCACAUGCCGGGGAAGAUGGCGAGAAGCAUGCAGCCUGCGGGUCAAUCCGUGGGGUUACAUUCAUGACUAAUCAGGGAAGUCGUACACGGGCCACCUGUGGCCUCGGGUGGGUCAAUCCCAAGCAAUGGUUGUCCAAAUAUCCCGGUCGUUAGUGUCAUAAUGCAACCCAGUCAGAACCGCAGACGACUCUUAACGCUUACCAGCAGUAAUGCACGCAGCCACCCAGGCGGCCUUGUUCGAGUCCCAGUGAGCCACGUUCUUGGCUCCCUUGUAGAUCACGAAGAAAACUGUUGGAACAAGUCCAUGCACGCAAACCGAGCGUUAGCGGAGCGGACACCUGGCAUGUAUCCGGUUUUGGCAUCAGGCGCCUCCGGCCAGAACAAUUGCUCGUCAGACCCACGCCACUGCAACACACAAUCGCACGCCCGGCGAUGACUUCGGCAACCUGCAUCCCUCCAAGCCCUAUGCAAAUGUACGUGCAAUUCCAGCACCAACGGCACCUUAUGAGCCCGUAACUGAUCUCCAGCCACCCACCGUUGAUGAACACGGUGACACCAACCAGCAGGGGGUACAUGUAGAUUGCCAGGUUGGUCGAGUUCUCGCGGCGGAGGAUGCACACGCGGUUGAGCCAGAAGAUGAUGGCAGACGCAAUGCCUGCAGCAAGGGAAGAGGGUUGGGUGCACGAGUGUGUGAGAAGCAGUGCACGCAAUCGUAAUGGAAUAAGCAACCGAUCCAUGCAUGACAGACGAAGCCGACGUGCAGCUGCGGCAGGAAGAUGAGUACAGGUUCCAGGAACGCAGGUCUUGCCCCGACCCAUGGCGAGCCUCACUAAUUUGUGAGUUCCACGACACCCCACACUCAGGCUGAACGAACACGUACACGCCUGUCUUGGCAUAAGACAGUGCACUCACCCGACAUGAGGGGCGACACGAACCAGGAGCAGAUGACGGGCACCAGACCCUUCGAGUAGGGGAAGGCGUCCAUGUGGUCGUUCCACACCACGGCGCCAGAGCCACCCCACACCAGGGCAAAGCCCAUCACCGCGCCGAUGACGGAGUGAGUGGUGGACACGGCCAGGCUAAAGUAGGUAGCGGUGAACACCCAGGUAGAGGCGGAAAUGAGCGCGCACAUCAUGCCGUACGCGAACAUCUCUGGGAGGUCCUGGAACGCGGUGGGGCGAGCGAUGGAGCCAGCGAUGGUCUUGGUCACCUCGCCACCCAGGCCGAUGGCUCCGGCGAACUCGAAGACGGAAGCGAUGAGGCAAGCCUGCUUCAGGGUAAUGGUCUUGGCGCCGACGGAGGUGCCGAAGGCGUUGGCCACUGUUGGGGGUAGGGGGUUGCAGGUCGGGUUAGUGCCAGGAUAUACACUUGCAUUGGGCUAGUCCGUAAGCGGAGCUGGUUUCCGUGUCAGUGGCACCCUGUUCCACCGGAAUCAGGUCAAGGGACCUGAAGCUGAUGCUCACCAUCAUUGGCACCGAUGCCGGCGGCCAUGAUAAAUGAGACAAUGAAGCCCACAAUCACCAGCCACAUGUAAUCUGCAUCCAGAUGCAGCAGAAGAAAAGAGCAGUGUUGGUAGGCGCAGGAGUUGCGUUGGGGCGGCCCAUGGAGCUAUGGCUACAACAUUAUGCUGGCAAGACCUAGCAUUACGAUGCGCCUACCUGUCCAGUACUCCGGCGGCAUCUGCGGGCGGGUAGGAACAUGAGCGCGGGCAGAGGGGCAAAAGUGAACAGCGAGGGCGAGGGAAAGCAACAGGAGGGAAGGAGGUGCGGCGCUGCGAAGGAGGUGCGGCGCUGCGGAAGAAAGCCAAUGCUAGGCAAAACGCUGACUACAAUAUCGAGUCCACCAUCAAGCGGCUGCCCCAUAAGCAAGUUCGUCGGAGAACGUGAUGCUGAUGCGGCGCAAGCAAUCGGUCACGCUCGGCGGCUGAAGUCAUCGCAAGCCGAACAGACAAUAACGGCCUGAUGCCCGCUGCAACUCUAGUGUUACGCCACACCACCGCAGCGCUGAAACGGGAGUGAACAACCCCACGGGUGUCAGUCCACUUUACGUCUGUCCUGGCCACCCACCUUCGCUGGACUGUCGGUCGCUUAAACAGCCCGUCAAGGCAGGAAGGUACUCUAGAAAGAGAGAACAGGCAGGCUCAGAGCAGGAGUGUGUGGUCGUCGAAGGUCCACCUUUACGGCUUGGCGAAGCAGGUUGUGGCAAAGUCUCUUAAUUAUGUCAAAGGUUGCUCACACACGCUUUAUGCGGCAGCUGAAAUCCGGCGAGAGGCGGUUUCGCCGGAAUUUCGUCAUCAUGAUGAUUCCAAAGGAAUCAAGUUGCUUUUUUGCGGAACAAGCUUUUCACAAGCUUUUCACAGGCGCAGCAUUGACUUUGUUAGUCCUGUCAAAAAUUUUGCAUUCCGAGGUGAAGCACCUCGGAAAUUCUCUGUCUGACAGAGAAGUCUACGAAAUUCUCUGGAGUAACGCAAAUUAAUGCACGUUUUAGAAAACAUACGAUAUCACACAUGCAUCAAACUGGGACGCGACGAUGUCCCGAAACGCUGGAUUUCAACCUUCCCACUCAGAGCAGAAAACGCAGUCAUGGCCUCUGCGUCAUCGCCGGGAAACGAUACUAAAUGCAAUUCAUCAUGAAGAACUCAAACAACUCAAUAUCAGAACAAACCCCCCUCGCAUCAAACUGAAGACAGAGUGCCGCCAUCCGCCACGGCACGCCAUACAAGUCACCGUCAAUGCAGUGGGUCGGCGCCGCAGGGCUUAUCCGUGCGGCGUAGAACUGUUUGGCGGGCAGGUUGGCACGGGGUGGAGCGGUUGAACCGGUGGUGACAUUGAGCCGCGGUGACGAUGCUCGAGGUAGUCGAAGUAGCCUGCGCGUCUCCAUACAGCUGCAGCUCCACAUGGGCGCAAAUGUGGCAUAGCAAGGGGCAGGCACGGCAGGCGGCACGUCAAUGGCACAGACCCGCAGGGAUGCGGUGGGACAGGGUGUGCGAUGGGACAGGGGAAGGGCACGGGGUAAGGGGCAGGUUGGCAGCCCCGUAGAGUUCAGCGUAUUCCCAAAUGGUCGCGGAAUGGGACAUCAGGCGAGACAUAUCAAGAUGGCCGCAUCAGCUAAGAUUCACAACUCACCUGUCCCGGGAAGGUAGCAUUCAUCACGGGCAUCCAGCGAGCGGUGUCGGUCUUCAGGUUAUGGAUGGACUGCAAGGCAGGCCUGCCGUGCAGGGGAGUCAGGUGACAAGGGGAACGUUGGGCGCGUCAGUUGGACGAAACACAUGUGCUGCGCCCAAGCGGCCCCGCUUCCAUACGGCAUGCAAUACGUAAUGCGCGAAUUGCCUUUUAAGGAGCCAAUGCGUGUCAUACGGUAAGCUAAGAACCCAACCACAGCAGGCCAAGACUUACGAUAUCAUAGUGGAUGUCCUUGCUAUUGGCCAGCUCCAGCACGUCGGGCGCCGGUCAACAGGGGCGCCUGCGGUUCAUUAAGUGACAAUGUAGGGGCAACCGUAUGAAGACGGCCAAGGGUCGAAGGGGACUGAAGUGUGCUUCGGCGAUGGUGGACACGCAAGGCCAUGGGCAAACCGUGUCCAGGAAGCCACUCACCGUAGGCGUGCACACAUAACACAAAAUAGCAAAACUGCAGUAUACGGGCAAACCGUGUCCAGGAAGCCACUCACCGUAGGCAUGCACACAUAACACAAUCAAGCGAAACUGCAGUACGGUAUACAUGCUUAGGAACCAUGCAAGUGAACCAGAAGACAGAAGUCCAAACAAUGUUUACAGUAUUAAUCAUGCAUCGGUGUUUCCCGCACAACAAGAAAGCACUCGUCAGGUGGGAUCGUAAAAGUGUGCAAGCAGUAUGCAACAAGUUCCCUACACCGACUACAGGCUGCCACUGUGCCAAACAACAGUGCAAGCCUCACAGUGCAAGCCUCACAGAGCCUGCCUCACAGAGCCUGCACAGCAACCACUCUGUCAGCAAAGAGCCGUAUCUCAGUAUCUAGUGGCAGCUUAGCAGCCUUAAGCCAGCACCACACCAUCCUGCAGACCGCGUCCUCUACGUGCCCGCACGCGCAGUAGUCCUGGUUUUCAUGGUCAGUCACGUUCUCAAUGAUUUAUUCUAGGAAUGCAACAGCCUACCGCCCGCCAGCGGGUGCCGCUGUGGGCCAGGGCUGCACCUGGAUGGUCGUGGCAGCGUACGGCUGGCCAGCGGGCACGUAGGCGCGGCUGCUGCUGUUGAAGCCAGUGGUGAGGGCAGAGUUGUUCUGGUAGGUCGUGAUGGCAGCGUUCAUCUGGGCAAUCAGCAUCGGAGGGUCAACGUAGCCGAUGUUCUUGGUGUUGAGCAUGGCGGUCAGGGCCUUGGUCUGGGAAGCGAUGGUGGCGUUCAGGUACUUGUCGAAGUAAGCCGGGCCAAAGGUCUUGUUCACGGCGAUGUUCUCCUUGGUCAGCUGGGCGUACAGGGUCACCGUCACGUUCUGCAUCGGAAACAACAGGGACGAGUGGGGUUCAGACGGCGGGCACGGAAACAGGCAGCGCACUUUUGUCUCGCGAAUUAAUAGCGCUUGGGUCGAGACCCCGGACCAGGGCCUCCGGCUUUCACACGCGUAGGAAGUCGCGCAACGACCGGGACAUUCAGUGUCGGCUGAAACAGUAUGGACACGGGAGCCUGCAACAUGACUUAACCGGGACUCCCAACAGCCGCUUCCCG
rnacentral:lncRNA from 1 species